rnacentral:rRNA from 1 species
AGUGAACGCUGGCGGUAGGCCUAACACAUGCAAGUCGAACGGCAGCACAGUAAGAGCUUGCUCUUACGGGUGGCGAGUGGCGGACGGGUGAGGAAUACAUCGGAAUCUACUUUUUCGUGGGGGAUAACGUAGGGAAACUUACGCUAAUACCGCAUACGACCUACGGGUGAAAGCAGGGGAUCUUCGGACCUUGCGCGAUUGAAUGAGCCGAUGUCGGAUUAGCUAGUUGGCGGGGUAAAGGCCCACCAAGGCGACGAUCCGUAGCUGGUCUGAGAGGAUGAUCAGCCACACUGGACCUGAGACACGGUCCAGACUCCUACGGGAGGCAGCAGUGGGGAAUAUUGGAAAAUGGGCGCAAGCCUGAUCCAGCCAUACCGCGUGGGUGAAGAAGGCCUUCGGGUUGUAAAGCCCUUUUGUUGGGAAAGAAAAGCAGCAGGUUAAUACCCCGCUGUUCUGACGGUACCCAAAGAAUAAGCACCGGCUAACUUCGUG